rnacentral:rRNA from 1 species
UACUCCUACGGGAGGCAGCAGUGGGGAAUUUUGGACAAUGGGGGCAACCCUGAUCCAGCCAUGCCGCGUGAGUGAAGAAGGCCUUCGGGUUGUAAAGCUCUUUCAGUUGGGAAGAAACGGGGUUCUCUAACAUAGAGCUCUAAUGACGGUACCGACAGAAGAAGCACCGGCUAACUACGUGCCAGCAGCCGCGGUAAU